UACGUAGGUGGCGAGCGUUGUCCGGAUUUACUGGGCGUAAAGAGCGCGCAGGCGGUCGUUCAAGUCGCGUGUGAAAGCCCCCGGCUCAACUGGGGAGGGUCACGCGAUACUGAUCGACUCGAAGGCAGGAGAGGGAAGUGGAAUUCCCGGUGUAGUGGUGAAAUGCGUAGAUAUCGGGAGGAACACCAGUGGCGAAGGCGACUUCCUGGCCUGUUCUUGACGCUGAGGCGCGAAAGCUAGGGGAGCAAACGGG
rnacentral:rRNA from 1 species